AGUAUCCCAUCUUAAAUGGCAAGUGGGCUUCGGAAGCCCUAUAUCUGCCUGAGGAACCACUGACAGAAGCUCGAGACUCGACUCUGGGUUUGCGAUAUGUUGCUUUCUAUUCCCCGAGACUGCUCAAUACUGGCAUGCAUUUUGAUGGAGAGGAGAAAAUGGAACUGAGGCUCUCCUGCAAGUCCCACGGAUCCACAUGCGCUAUGCUGAUGAGCAGCAACCACCACACCCAGAAUUGUUUCAUGAGGUCCUGGAGUUCCGUCUCAGCCCUGGCCUUGCACAACAGUUGACUUGAUCGGCCUCUGCCCCAGCUUCAACAGCUUCCAGGAUUGUUGAGGUGGCUCACACAGGCGGGCCUCAGGCUGCUCUUCUUUGGAAUGCCUGAAGAAUGCUGUGCCCGAGCUGGGACUGACCACAGCUGUCGUUCCUGAUACCACAUAGUGCCCGUGGCUCCUCUAUCAUGCAAAACUUUCUCAUCCUGGUAAAAUGGAAGUUUCUGUCCUGGACAUUAGCUCUUCACAGCAUGGAUGGUCACUCAGAACUUACGAAGACUUCAAGUGGAUGGCUUGUGGCUAAGAACAACCCCUGUGCGCAGUUCAUUGAAUUUAUAUAACAUUACUCAAAUUCCAGUAGGAUUUUUUUCUC
ensembl:lincRNA 1700060C16Rik RIKEN cDNA 1700060C16 gene